rnacentral:rRNA from 1 species
GAAAGGCCCUGCUUGCAGGGUACUCGAGUGGCGAACGGGUGAGUAACACGUGGGUGAUCUGCCCUGUACUUCGGGAUAAGCUUGGGAAACUGGGUCUAAUACCGGAUAGGACCGCAUCGUGGGUGGUGUGGUGGAAAGCUUUUGCGGUAUGGGAUGAGCUCGCGGCCUAUCAGCUUGUUGGUGGGGUAAUGGCCUACCAAGGCGUCGACGGGUAGCCGGCCUGAGAGGGUGUACGGCCACAUUGGGACUGAGAUACGGCCCAGACUCCUACGGGAGGCAGCAGUGGGGAAUAUUGCACAAUGGGCGCAAGCCUGAUGCAGCGACGCCGCGUGGGGGAUGACGGCCUUCGGGUUGUAAACUCCUUUCGCCAGGGACGAAGCGUUAUGUGACGGUACCUGGAUAAGAAGCACCGGCUAACUACGUGCCAGCAGCCGCGGUAAUACGUAGGGUGCGAGCGUUGUCCGGAAUUACUGGGCGUAAAGAGCUCGUAGGUGGUUUGUCGCGUCGUUUGUGUAAGUCCACGGCUUACUGUGGGACUGCAGCGAUACGGGCAUAACUUGAGUGCUGUAGGGAGACUGGAAUUCCUGGUGUAGCGGUGAAAUGCGCAGAUAU